CGAUGAAAGAAGCAGGACAAUGGAACAUAUUCAUUGAUUUUUUGUCGACUCCAAAUUUUAACUUUUAGUUAAGCGUGCUUGGGAGAGAGUAGUACUAGGAUGGGUGACCUCCCGGGAAGUCCUCGUGUUGCAUCCU
rnacentral:rRNA from 1 species